CGCGUAGGUGGUAGUGUAAGUCUGAGGUGGAAUCCCAGGGCUUAACCCUGGAACUGCCUUGGAAACUGCAUUACUUGAGUCAGUGAGGGGAGGGUAGAAUUCCUGGUGUAGCGGUGAAAUGCGUAGAUAUCAGGAGGAAGGCCUGUGGCGAAGGCGGCCCUCUGGUGCUGGACUGACACUGAGGCGCGAAAGCGUGGGGAGCAAACAGGAUUAGAUACCCUGAUAGUCCACGCCCUAAACGGUGGGCACUAGGUGUAGGGCUCGUAAGGGUUCUGUGCCGAAGGGAAACCAUUAAGUGCCCCGCCUGGGGAGUACGGCCGCAAGGUUGAA
rnacentral:rRNA from 1 species